rnacentral:misc_RNA from 1 species
AACGAGGCCGACCUGCGGCUGAGUUACCUGCGGAGGGAUCAUUACCUAGAGUUGUAGGCUCUGCCUACCAUCUCUUACCCAUGUCUUUUGAGUACCUUCGUUUCCUCGGCGGGUCCGCCCGCCGAUUGGACAAUACUUAAACCCUUUGUAGUUGCAAUCAGCGUCUGAAAAAACUUAAUAGUUACAACUUUUAACAAUGGAUCU